CCUACGGGAGGCAGCAGUGAGGAAUAUUUGUCAAUGGGCGCGAGCCUGAACCAGCCAAGUAGCGUGAAGGAUGACUGCCCUACGGGUUGUAAACUUCUUUUAUAAAGGAAUAAAGUGAGGCACGUGUGCCUCUUUGUAUGUACUUUAUUAAUAAGGAUCGGCUAACUCCGUGCCAGCAGCCGUGGUAAUACGGAGGCUCCGAGCGUUGUCCGGAUUUAUGGGGUUUAAAGGGCGCGUAGAUGGGUUGUUAAGUCAGUGGUGAAAGUUUGCGGCUCAACCGUAAAAUUGCAAUUGAUACUGGCAGUCUUGAGUAAAGUUGAGGUAGGCGGAAUUCGUGGUGUAGCGGUGAAAUGCUUAGAUAUCACGAAGAACUCCGAUUGCGAAGGCAGGUUACUAAACUGCCACUGACAUUGAUGCUCGAAAGUGUGGGUAUCAAACGGGAUUAGAUACCCCUGUAGUC
rnacentral:rRNA from 1 species